rnacentral:sRNA from 1 species
AGAACCUUUAAGAACAGUCCAGAGAGGCUGAGAAGGAAACGGUGCAGAAAAGGCAUACUUAUAGCCUUUUUGAAGAAAUAUGUCUAAAACCAAAUCCUCUUGCCUCAAGGCAAGAGGAUUUUUUUAU